UAAUGCGAGGAAUCUGCCUGGUAGUGGGGGACAACGUUUCGAAAGGAACGCUAAUACCGCAUACGUCCUACGGGAGAAAGCAGGGGACCUUCGGGCCUUGCGCUAUCAGAUGAGCCUAGGUCGGAUUAGCUAGUUGGUGAGGUAAUGGCUCACCAAGGCGACGAUCCGUAACUGGUCUGAGAGGAUGAUCAGUCACACUGGAACUGAGACACGGUCCAGACUCCUACGGGAGGCAGCAGUGGGGAAUAUUGGACAAUGGGCGAAAGCCUGAUCCAGCCAUGCCGCGUGUGUGAAGAAGGUCUUCGGAUUGUAAAGCACUUUAAGUUGGGAGGAAGGGUUGUAGAUUAAUACUCUGCAAUUUUGACGUUACCGACAGAAUAAGCACCGGCUAACUCUGUGCCAGCAGCCGCGGUAAUACAGAGGGUGCAAGCGUUAAUCGGAAUUACUGGGCGUAAAGCGCGCGUAGGUGGUUCGUUAAGUUGGAUGUGAAAUCCCCGGGCUCAACCUGGGAACUGCAUUCAAAACUGGCCAGGUAUAGUAUGUACCGGGUGGGUGGAAACUUCCUGUGUAGCGGUGAAAUGCGUAGAUAUAGGAAGGAACACCAGUGGCGAAGGCGACCACCUGGACUGAUACUGACACUGAGGUGCGAAAGCCUGGGGAGCAAACAGGAUUAGAUACCACGGUAGUCCACCCAGUAAACGAUGUCAACUACCCGUUGGGAGCCUUGAGUUCUUAGUGGCGCAGAUAAAGCAUUAAGUUGACCGCUUGGGGAGUACGGCCGCAAGGUUAAAACUCAAAUGAAUUGACGGGGGCCCGCACAAGCGGUGGAGCAUGUGGUUUAAUUCGAAGCAAAGCGAAGAACAUUACCAGGCCUUGACAUCCAAUGAACUUUCCAGAGAUGGAUUGGUGCCUUCGGGAACAUUGAGACAGGUGCUGCAUGGCGGUCGUCAGAUCGUGUCUUGAGAUGUUGGGUUAAGUCCCGUAACGAGCGCAACCCUUGUCCUUAGUUACCAGCACGUUAUGGUGGGCACUCUAAGGAGACUGCCGGUGACAAACCGGAGGAAGGUGGGGAUGACGUCAAGUCAUCAUGGCCCUUACGGCCUGGGGUACACACGUGGUACAAUGGUCGGUACAAAGGGUUGCCAAGCCGCGAGGUGGAGCUAAUCCCAUAAAACCGAUCGUAGUCACGGAUCGCAGUCUGCAACUCGA
rnacentral:rRNA from 1 species